CCUACGGGAGGCAGCAGUGGGGAAUAUUGCACAAUGGGGGAAACCCUGAUGCAGCGACGCCGCGUGAGUGAAGAAGUAUUUCGGUACGUAAAGCUCUAUCAGCAGGGGAGAAAAUGACGGUACCUGACUAAGAAGCCCCGGCUAACUACGUGCCAGCAGCCGCGGUAAUACGUAGGGGGCAAGCGUUAUCCGGAUUUACUGGGUGUAAAGGGAGCGUAGACGGCAGCGCAAGUCUGGAGUGAAAUCCCAUGGCUUAACCAUGGAACUGCUUUGGAAACUGUGCAGCUAGAGUGCAGGAGAGGUAAGCGGAAUUCCUAGUGUAGCGGUGAAAUGCGUAGAUAUUAGGAGGAACACCAGUGGCGAAGGCGGCUUACUGGACUGUAACUGACGUUGAGGCUCGAAAGCGUGGGGAGCAAACAGGAUUAGAUACCCCAGUAGUC
rnacentral:rRNA from 1 species